AAAUCUCUACAUGGUUCUAUCCAAAGCAGCAUUAUCAAUACUGCAAGAGAACAAUGUGUCCACGAAGGAUAUAGACACAUUAAUUGGAACUUGGUUAACGAACUGUAAGCUUCGGCAAAACAGACAAGUACUUCCAGUCGUUGAACCAAUUCAACUUUAAAACGAUUUUUUUAUAUCGUCAUUUGCAUAAUAUAAACAUGCAUUAUAAUAAAAAUGUUAAGAUAACCUCGAGGAGGUGCGAGCUCUAAAAACUGUAAAACUCUGUGUUUUGAAGCAAGUGGAAAAAAUCAUUAGAGUUAAUUU